rnacentral:rRNA from 1 species
AUGGCGCUGGUUCCACACGGCAGCGGAGGCAGCGCGAGCAGAUCGGUGGCUAUGGGGAUGCCGGUGCUCGCGCCGGACGGCUACACCGUGUGGGCGAUCAAGGCGCAGGCGAUCCUUGAUGCUCACACGCUGUGGGAGGCGGUGGCGCCGGCGGGCGACGCGGCGGUGAACGCCAAGAAGUGCAAGAUGGCGCGGGCGCUUCUCCUGUCGGGGCCGCCGGAGGAUGUGCUGCUCUCGGUGGCGACGAAAGCCACCGCCAGAGAGGUAUGGGACUCUCUGAAGGUGCGCUUCAUCGGCGCCGAGCGGGUGCGCGCGGCGAGGAGGGCGACGCUGCGCGGCGAGCUGGAUCGGCUCAAGAUGGACGACGGCGAGUCCCUGGACGCAUACGCCGGAUGGCUUCCGGGCAUGGCGGCGCGGUUCGCGGGCCUGGGGGCGACGCUCGGCGAGACGGAGCUGGUGAAGAAGCUCCUGGACACCGUGCCGGACCGUCUCUUCCCCGCCGUCACCGGCAUCGAACAGUUCUGCACUCUGUAG